rnacentral:lncRNA from 10 species
AGUCUAAGUUACUACCCAUCAUAUUUUGUCUGCUAUAUAUAGUUCUGUCUCCCUGGUCAUGUGUAGAGCAGAAUGACUCAUAUCCCCUGACUGUCAUGAAUGAACAAGUGCAGCUCACCCAGCCACCCACCUCUUCAGUUCUCCUAAUGGAUGUGUUCUUCACGGGGUCCUAGAAACCUUAUGGCUUCCUAUUUCUAUAGAUUUUCCAACAGCGAAAAUACUCCAUAUAAAUGAUACAUACGUCGGAGUAGACUGAGUUAUGUGGCUGUCACAACCCCCAUUCUCAGCAGUUUAAGCUGACACUUCCACCUUCCAGACCGUACAGGGGACUUCUGCAGGUGGUGACUUCUCUGGGAGCUACAUUCCUGGGAGCAAUUGCCCAGUGUCCUCCCAGGUGGAUUAUUAUAUGGCAGCCUUGAGAGCCACAGUCGAAGGGCUGUCUAGGGGUCAAGACCCUGAGGAAGCGGCAUUUAAGGGUCUCAAAGACCUGCUGAACAUCAGCUGAAAGGCCUGUCCAGGGAGCUGAAGAAGGCGAAGAAUGGGAGCCUGGAGCACAAGGAGUAUUUGUGAAUCACAGAACUCAGUGAAUAUCCUUGACUACUUGUAGGGCUUCCAAUCCAGGGCAGUGUGGACCUUUGUGGGAUCCUCCAUCUGCUUUGGGGCUUGAUGUACUCUAAGAAUUUUGCAAACUUAAGGUAAAGACAUAUCUUAAGUUUUCCUGGCUUUGCAAGUAAUCUUUGCUUGAAGAUGGGCCAGCUAGAAAUGGAUGGUAGGUUCAAUGGGGUCUCAGGGGAAAGUGGACUAUGGUCUAAUUAAUGACUGUCAAAUAUUUUUACUCUGACCCACAGCCCAAAAUACAUUCUGCAUGGUGACCUAGCAUAUAUACACAUACACACACACACCUGAAACAAAAGUUUUAUUAGGCAGUACCUAUACUUAACAUAUGUGAUGCAUUCUGGUCUUUUAUUUUCUAUUUUAUUCUAUUUCAUUAAGUUGAUUUCAUGAUAUGCUAAUGGAUUGCAACAUGUAUUUUGAGAAACAUUGGUCUAAUAGAUGACAACUUGUCCUUGAAGGUGAUUGAGGAAGAUGUUGUCCAUGAAUAAUGAAAUUCAGAUGAGCAGUGCCAAAAGCUGAGCAACCUGACUGUGUACUUUAAAUGCUCAUAGCAGAUACAGAAUCUGGUUUUCUGUCAUUCCUAAACAUUGAGAUUGGAAAUAGUAAAAAAUAACAGCAAUAUGAAGAAUAGCAACAUUUACUGAGGACCUACUCAGUUCAGACAACUGUGCUAGGUACUUGAGUGGAAUAAAAAUGUGAAUAGAAGGCUGG